GGAGGGAGUGGGGUCCACCACUGGGUGAAGAGCCUGAGGCCGCGCGAGUUGGUGAUGUACUCGGAGGAGUGACUCACUGAGUGGCGGGCGUAGAACUCGUCCGGAGUCAAUGAGCCGAAUAGGCUCUGCUCGUUGGCUUCGGCAACCGGGUGUAUGGGCAUUUUUGAAAUUUGAUUUUUGCCUUUGAGAACUGAGAAGACAAGCUUUCAGUUUCAGUUAGUAGGUUAGUUUCUGUUGAGCGACCGGUUUCAGUACUCAAUUGGUCUAGGCAGGCAGGAUUCUGAUGUUUCUGGGAUUGCGUUCUCUAUGGUGCGGCAUUAUAUGGGUAAUGGGUGGCCAAUUAAUGUAAUUCUUUUUUCCCUUUUUUUUCAUUAAAAUAUAUAAUGGCUUGGGUAAAACUUAAAUUGAUUUUGAAUUCUAAUGAUGAGUUAAAACAAAAAAUGUUUUUAAAAUUAUUUGGUAAUACACUAAUUAGUCUCUAUUUCAACUCGAAUAAUUUACUUAAAAAGUUAAUUAAAAAUUAAUCGUUUUCUUUUUCGCUUUCUUUUUCGUUUUCAUGUUAAUGUAACACUAAAUGCUCAAUAAAUGCAGUGCCAUUAUUUUCUGGUAAGAACUAAGAAGAAACCAAAGAAUAGAGUGGGGGUGGAACCCAUCAUGUAGCGAGCUGCUCGGUCAUGUAUGAGUGAAUCAGUGAAUAGAGAUGUCCUUGAAAAUAAAUAAGGAGGUUGGGGGAUAAAGGAGGUCGUUGGCAUAGUCGAUCAGUACCAACCAGCGAAUUGGUAGAAUUGGAUAUUUUCUGCUUUCCCCCCACCAAAUUGGUUUCCAAAUUAAUCUAGCUGUGCAUUGUAUUGUCCAAUAAGUACCAAACACAUACGUACUGUAGAAUCUCUUAUUAUCUGUGACUAUCAUAUAUGAACAUAUGAUUCAAAUUAAAACAAGAAGACUCACGGAUAAAGCUAACUCAAUCAACCAUAUCUUUGAGAUGUAGUCAUUCCCGCAAGGGCACGUCAUACUUUUUAUUAGUAUUUGCUGUGGGGCAUAGGAAUUGGUUGAGCAUGUUAUUCCAUUUUCAAGAGUCAAAACCACUAUCCACAUUCGGAUGCAAGCCCAACCCAAAAUGAGCCCAAACGCAUAAGAAAUACAAAGAGUGGGCAAACUUAUACAAUAAGGAUCUAUUGCCAAAAAAGCUGAUGAAGAAAAUAGCCAUCAGGAUAUAUAUCGCAGAGAUAUGAAAUACUACGAAUGGUUUUCUCUUACCUAUUAGAUCAAAUACAUACUGUGUACAUUGGAAACUAAAGCAAAUCAGUCUAACAAACACACCACUAGCUGGAACUAUUACUUUAGCUAGCACAUUUCUUCUCUCACUUUCUUCUUCUCAACACUUAAACCUUAAGGCUUUGAUAUUCCUUCGAUAUGUACAAUCUUGUCAUGUGUACACAUUGUUGUACUGAUCACACGCCCCAACAGACACUGCCUCAGUUCUCUUCAUGAUCAAUGCAAGCUGAAAGGAUAAAGUAUAUCGUAUCAGAUGACAAAAUCCACCACUAGUCAUUUUAAUGCUUUCUGUAUGAUUGUUCACACUCGAUGGUAGCAUGGCUUGGGUUCAGUGUUAAGAAAGAAAGAAUGUGCAUGUAUACAAAUUGAAAGUCAUGUAAUCCAGAAGAAAUUUGCUUGAUGUUAAUAUGAGCACAUGAAUGGUAUUCAUCACAAACCUAACCAAAAUAUCAGAACUUUACUCAGAACACCAUUUAAGAACUUCAUGACAUCAUCUUCAAUUAACAACAGAGCAUAAACAUACCUAAAUUCUCAAUUAAUGGGACUAGAGCUGACAAAAUUUGACACGACCCGAUUACCCGACACGAACACGACACAAAUUUGACACGAUUAUUAAAUGGUUGGGUCCAAGUCGACACAAUUUUUUUUCAUGCCGGGCUAGGGUUAAAGUUCUUGACCCAUUCACCCGACCAAUGACACGAUUAUAUUUUCUAUUUUAAAUUAAUUUCUAGGUUCUUGUCAUUAAAACUCAAAUAUUGGACAUGAUUCUUUCUUCUUCUUUCUGCUGUACGGCCAAGGAAAGAAAUUCUUAGUGUGCCUUCUAGCAAUCCAAAAAGACCAUCCAUUUUUUUUUUCUUUUUGUUUGGUUCAUCUAUUGAAAAUGAAGGCUAUGAAGCAAUAGAAAUGUGAAUGAGAUCUCCUGUUUUUAUGUUUCCUUGAAAAUUGGAGAUCUAAUUGACUUGUUCUAACUUGUUACUUGUUACACAUACGUUGAAGAUGUGACCAGAGUUAUUCCUAUAUUUCAUUUAAAUACUAAUGCAUAUUAGCGUAUAUGCAAAGAUAACAAGGAAUUGACAAUUUUAGAGAACUCACGUUAAUUUUUUACUUUUUUUUUAAAUAGAAUUUUUUACCAUUAAUUCAAUGGAAUUUGUUAGAAAUUGAAAGGUCAUGAUACCUUCAUUAUUUGAAAUGACUAAUUUAUCCUUCGUUUCCUUCAAGAGCUCGAAAACUUCUAAACGCUCAACGCUCAAGCCAACACAGACGGCUAGGAUGUCCUCAAUUAAUUUGAGAGGAAAAUUACAGGUUAAUUAUGCAUGAUUUGAUUAAGGAGCAAAGGAACAUUAAAAAAGUGUAAUUAACAUUGCCAACGAACGUGCCCAACAUUAAUUUAUUAGUUAUUUCAAAUAAAGCAUCCACUUGGCAUACUAUAAUUGGUUGUUUGCUACAGCAGCCACUACAGACCUCAUUAAGCGCCAGAAUCUAACUCAGCGGCAGGGCGCGAACCAUCACCGCCCUUGGCAGCGCUCGAGGCUCUUUCUCUCAGCCAUUCCACCAUCUCUCCGAAAACCAACUCAACAUUCUCCUCAGGCUCGCCAAUCAGCUGAUGCCACAUGCCUGGAUAAAUGCUCAGCGUCUUAUCCUUACUCGCUGCACGUUUAUACAACUCCUCAACGCAGGCGGGAUCGCAAACGACGUCGUCUCCGCCGUGGCAUAUCAGCAUCGGCACCUCGACUUCCUCGAACCUCCCUUGCAAAUCCCUCGAUACGCGCAGCAACUCCAGCGCGGUCGCCGCACGCGGCCUCGCCACCGGCCUCCUCGGGCUCGACAGCGCCAGCUUCCUCUUCCACUCCUCCUUGAACGAGACCAUCGGGAGCGAACCGCGGGUGGGAACCACGCGCCAGGUAGGCACCAGCCACGCGACUGUGAAAAGAAGGUGCUCCAAGGGCCACGGCGGCUUGAAUUUCUGGCUAAUCCCGCACAUGGCCCCAUUCAAAAUCAAACCAUCCCACGCGCCCUUCUGACGGAGCGUGAUGUAAAGAGCAAUGGCCCCACCUAAGGACUCGGAGUACAAAAACGCGGGCAAAUCCGGCGCGUGUCUCGCACGGAAUGAAUCGAAGAAGGAAAUCGCGUCUUCGACGACGGGGUUGAGGUCGGGAAUGUGAGCGACAAGUCCAUCAGAGAAGCCGUGGCCCUGGUGAUCGAUAGCGCACGUGGCGAAGCCCGAUUUGGCGAAGAGGACGGCGGUGAGCUGGACAAUCCAGCUGGUCUCGCCGGUGAAGCCGUGGACGACGCAGAGGACGCCGAGGGUUUUGGCGGGAGGGAGUGGGGUCCACCACUGGGUGAAGAGCCUGAGGCCGCGCGAGUUGGUGAUGUACUCGGAGGAGUGACUCACUGAGUGGCGGGCGUAGAACUCGUCCGGAGUCAAUGAGCCGAAUAGGCUCUGCUCGUUGGCUUCGGCAACCGGGUGUAUGGGCAUUUUUGAAAUUUGAUUUUUGCCUUUGAGAACUGAGAAGACAAGCUUUCAGUUUCAGUUAGUAGGUUAGUUUCUGUUGAGCGACCGGUUUCAGUACUCAAUUGGUCUAGGCAGGCAGGAUUCUGAUGUUUCUGGGAUUGCGUUCUCUAUGGUGCGGCAUUAUAUGGGUAAUGGGUGGCCAAUUAAUGUAAUUCUUUUUUCCCUUUUUUUUCAUUAAAAUAUAUAAUGGCUUGGGUAAAACUUAAAUUGAUUUUGAAUUCUAAUGAUGAGUUAAAACAAAAAAUGUUUUUAAAAUUAUUUGGUAAUACACUAAUUAGUCUCUAUUUCAACUCGAAUAAUUUACUUAAAAAGUUAAUUAAAAAUUAAUCGUUUUCUUUUUCGCUUUCUUUUUCGUUUUCAUGUUAAUGUAACACUAAAUGCUCAAUAAAUGCAGUGCCAUUAUUUUCUGGUAAGAACUAAGAAGAAACCAAAGAAUAGAGUGGGGGUGGAACCCAUCAUGUAGCGAGCUGCUCGGUCAUGUAUGAGUGAAUCAGUGAAUAGAGAUGUCCUUGAAAAUAAAUAAGGAGGUUGGGGGAUAAAGGAGGUCGUUGGCAUAGUCGAUCAGUACCAACCAGCGAAUUGGUAGAAUUGGAUAUUUUCUGCUUUCCCCCCACCAAAUUGGUUUCCAAAUUAAUCUAGCUGUGCAUUGUAUUGUCCAAUAAGUACCAAACACAUACGUACUGUAGAAUCUCUUAUUAUCUGUGACUAUCAUAUAUGAACAUAUGAUUCAAAUUAAAACAAGAAGACUCACGG
rnacentral:lncRNA from 1 species